rnacentral:misc_RNA from 1 species
AAGACUAUAGACCUGCGGAGUACCUGCGGAAGGAUCAUUAUAGAGUGGUAAACCUCCCGUAAAAAGGGGGGGACCUCCCGUCCUUUGCAGGCUCUUUUUUAAGGGGCUUUUUUGACUUUCUGCUUCGGUGGGGUUAUCCUACCGGAACAACUUCAAAACUCUGAAUCAAAAAAAUCGUUCUGUCCGAGGGCUUUUUUAUAAAAUAAAAAAAAACUUUCAACAAUGGAUCUCUAGAUCGGA